rnacentral:piRNA from 1 species
UGGAAGAGGUGUGCACUUUCACAGAAGC